rnacentral:miRNA from 1 species
UCAGCUACGAUUGAAGGGCUUGC